CGAAUACCGGAGAAUGUUAUCACGGGAGACACACGGCGGGUGCUAACGUCCGUCGUGAAGAGGGAAACAACCCAGACCGCCAGCUAAGGUCCCAAAGUCAUGGUUAAGUGGGAAACGAUGUGGGAAGGCCCAGACAGCCAGGAUGUUGGCUUAGAAGCAGCCAUCAUUUAAAGAAAGCGUAAUAGCUCACUGGUCGAGUCGGCCUGCGCGGAAGAUGUAACGGGGCUAAACCAUGCACCGAAGCUGCGGCAGCGACACUAUGUGUUGUUGGGUAGGGGAGCGUUCUGUAAGCCUGUGAAGGUGUGCUGUGAGGCAUGCUGGAGGUAUCAGAAGUGCGAAUGCUGACAUAAGUAACGAUAAAGCGGGUGAAAAGCCCGCUCGCCGGAAGACCAAGGGUUCCUGUCCAACGUUAAUCGGGGCAGGGUGAGUCGACCCCUAAGGCGAGGCCGAAAGGCGUAGUCGAUGGGAAACAGGUUAAUAUUCCUGUACUUGGUGUUACUGCGAAGGGGGGACGGAGAAGGCUAUGUUGGCCGGGCGACGGUUGUCCCGGUUUAAGCGUGUAGGCUGGUUUUCCAGGCAAAUCCGGAAAAUCAAGGCUGAGGCGUGAUGACGAGGCACUACGGUGCUGAAGCAACAAAUGCCCUGCU
rnacentral:rRNA from 1 species